rnacentral:rRNA from 1 species
GUUUCCUACGGGACGCAGCAGUGGGGAAUAUUGCACAAUGGGCGCAAGCCUGAUGCAGCGACGCCGCGUGCGGGAUGGAGGCCUUCGGGUUGUAAACCGCUUUUGUUCAAGGGCAAGGCACGGUCUUUGGCCGUGUUGAGUGGAUUGUUCGAAUAAGCACCGGCUAACUACGUGCCAGCAGCCGCGGUAAUACGUAGGGUGCAAGCGUUAUCCGGAUUUAUUGGGCGUAAAGGGCUCGUAGGCGGUUCGUCGCGGCCGGUGGGAAAGUCCAUCGCUUAAAGGGGGAACUG